UAGAUACCCUAGUAUGGACAUGUUUUUAUAAGAUUAUUAUUAUAAGGAAAUUUAAUUUUUUUGGCGGUUAAUAGAUAGAUUAGGGGAGCUUGUGGUUAAGAAUUUACUCUUUAUAUUUUACUAAUUUUUGUUUAUUUAUUUCCGUUAUGAGAGUUAAUCUAAAAAAUUUAUGUUUUUAUAUCAGGUCAAUAUGUAGCAAUUAUUAGAUAAAUUAGCUACAUUAAUGGAAUUUUGGAUGAAAUUUAGAAGUAUUUUCUUGAAAAUGAACUUAGGUGUAACUAUUCUUUAGACUGAGAUGGUGAAGCAGGAAGUUAAUGUACAUAUUGCCCGUCACUUCUUUUGUUUAAAGAGAAUAAGUCGUAACAAA
rnacentral:rRNA from 1 species